AGAGUUUGAUCCUGGCUCAGGAUAAACGCUGGCGGCGUGCCUAACACAUGCAAGUCGAACGCCCUGUACUUCGGUGCAGGGAGUGGCGGACGGGUGAGCAACACGUGAGUACCUGCCCUUCAGUGAGGAAUACCGGCGAGAAAUCGCCGACAAGACCGCAUAGGCUCGGGAGACCGAGCAAAGCCCGGCAACGGGCGCUG
rnacentral:rRNA from 1 species